rnacentral:rRNA from 2 species
AGAGUUUGAUCAUGGCUCAGAGUGAACGCUGGCGGUAGGCCUAACACAUGCAAGUCGAACGGCAGCACAGGAGAGCUUGCUCUCUGGGUGGCGAGUGGCGGACGGGUGAGGAAUACAUCGGAAUCUACUCUGUCGUGGGGGAUAACGUAGGGAAACUUACGCUAAUACCGCAUACGACCUACGGGUGAAAGCAGGGGACCUUCGGGCCUUGCGCGAUUGAAUGAGCCGAUGUCGGAUUAGCUAGUUGGCGGGGUAAAGGCCCACCAAGGCGACGAUCCGUAGCUGGUCUGAGAGGAUGAUCAGCCACACUGGAACUGAGACACGGUCCAGACUCCUACGGGAGGCAGCAGUGGGGAAUAUUGGACAAUGGGCGCAAGCCUGAUCCAGCCAUACCGCGUGGGUGAAGAUGGCCUUCGGGUUGUAAAGCCCUUUUGUUGGGAAAGAAAUCCAGCUGGCUAAUACCCGGUUGGGAUGACGGUACCCAAAGAAUAAGCACCGGCUAACUUCCUGCCAGCAGCCGCGGUAAUACGAAGGGUGCAAGCGUUACUCGGAAUUACUGGGCGUAAAGCGUGCGUAGGUG